rnacentral:rRNA from 1 species
UAAAACGUAGGUGGCGAGCGUUAUCCGGAUUCACUGGGCGUAAAGCGCACGCAGGCGGCAUGGUGGGUAGGGCAUGAAAUCUCCCGGCUUAACUGGGAGGAGCUGUCCUAUACCGCCAAGCUUGAGGAUAGGAGAGGGAAGUGGAAUUGCCGGUGUAGUGGUGAAAUGCGUAGAGAUCGGCAGGAACACCAGUGGCGAAGGCGGCUUCCUGGCCUAUACCUGACGCUCAAGUGCGAAAGCUAGGGGAGCGAACGGGAUUAGAAACCCCGGUAGUCCUAGCCGUAAACGAUGCACACUAGGUGUCGGGGGUAUUGACCCCCUCGGUGCCGCAGCCAACGCGAUAAGUGUGCCGCCUGGGGACUACGGCCGCAAGGUUA